AACAGGAUUAGAUACCCUGGUAGUCCACGCCCUAAACGAUGCCAACUAGGUGUUGGGGAAGGAGACUUCCUUAGUACCGUAGCUAACGCGUGAAGUUGGCCGCCUGGGGAGUACGGUCGCAAGAUUAAAACUCAAAGGAAUUGACGGGGACCCGCACAAGCGGUGGAUGAUGUGGAUUAAUUCGAUGCAGCGCGAAAAACCUUACCUACCCUUGACAUGUCAGGGAUCCUGCUGAGAGGUGGGAGUGCCCGAAAGGGAACCUGAACACAGGUGCUGCAUGGCUGUCGUCAGCUCGUGUCGUGAGAUGUUGGGUUAAGUCCCGCAACGAGCGCAACCCUUGUCAGUAGUUGCCAUCAUUUAGUUGGGCACUCUAAUGAGACUGCCGGUGACAAACCGGAGGAAGGUGGGGAUGACGUCAAGUCCUCAUGGCCUUUAUGGGUAGGGCUUCACUCGUCAUACAAUGGUCGGUACAGAGGGUUGCCAAGCCGCGAGGUGGAGCCAAUCCCAGAAAGCCGAUCGUAGUCCGGAUCGGAGUCUGCAACUCGACUCCGUGAAGUCGGAAUCGCUAGUAAUCGUGGAUCAGCAUGCCACGGUGAAUACGUUCCCGGGUCUUGUACACACCGCCCGUCACACCAUGGGAGUGGGUUUCACCAGAAGUAGGUAGCCUAACCGCAAGGAGGGCGCUUACCACGGUGGGAUUCAUGACUGGGGUGAAGUCGUAACAAGGUAACC
rnacentral:rRNA from 1 species